GAUGAAGAACGCAGCGAAAUGCGAUACGUAAUGUGAAUUGCAAAUUCAGUGAAUCAUCGAGUCUUUGAACGCACAUUGCGCCCCCUGGUAUUCCGGGGGGCAUGCCUGUCAGAGCGUCAUUGCUGCCCUCAAGCACGGCUUGUGUGUUUGGCCCCGUCCUCCGAUCCCGGGGGACGGGCCCGAAAGGCAGCGGCGGCACCGCGUCCGGUCCUCGAGCGUAUGGGGCUUUGUCACCCGCUCUGUAGGCCCGGCCGGCGCUUGCCGAUCAACCCAAAUUUUUAUCCAGGUUGACCUCGGAUCAGGUAGGGAUACCCGCUGAACUUAAGCAUAUCAAUAAGCGGAGGA
rnacentral:misc_RNA from 1 species